CUGCAUUAUUAGUUGAGUCAAAAAUGCAAGAAGUUAAUUGUUCUGAGAACAAUGAAAUGUGACUUUCAAUUAUUCUGGAUGAUGAAGAAAAGGUUUAAAUGGAUGAUCUAAAACAAAGGACUGUUAGUUAACAGAAUACGCAAAUUAGACUGCAUUAUAUUGAUAUGUUAUUGUCAAUUUCAACUCUGAUAACUGCCAAUUAACAUACGGUUGUUUCCAGGGAGAAAACAAUAGAGAAGAGUGAGCGGAGAGAUGAAGUCUCCUCACCCUGAAAACUCCUUGUCUUUGCCCAGAGGUGACUUCUCAGUUCCUUAGACUGAGGCGUCUGGAGUCUGUCCUGACUGUCAGUAUUCUCUGACCACCUUCCCAGGUAGGAGAUCAGAGGCAUGUCAGAAGGGAAGGUACAGACCUGCAAAUAUUUUUAGAUCUCUUACCUCCAAGGUGGGAAGAAUGACCAGGAGAACCCUUGCUCCAGGCCUGUUACCUAGAGUGGAUCCAGGGAAACAAAGGUCCUGUUGCCCACAGCCUGAUGUCUGAGCUGCUUCAUAGAACAUCAUCUUUGGGCACCCUCCCAGUCUGGGUGAGUAAUCUGGGUGAUGCUACAAGGAGCUAAAUCAAGAGUGUCCUGAAAUGGGGAGGCAAACAUCAUUUGCAUUUCACCUAGGAAACUCUGCCAGGGUUCUCUCUGUGUGACUACCCUCGAGGCCUCUUGGAAGAAAGAAACUCAAGGAAUUUAAGACUGACGCUCAGGCCCAGGGACUGGGACACCAAGGUUAAGAAUCCCUAAGAAUCUCUCUCUCUCUCUCUUUAAAAUUGUGGUAAGAACACUUAACUUGAGAUCUACACUCUUAAUGAAAUUCUAAGUGUACAAUACUGUAUUGUUAGCUAUAAGCACAAUGUUGUACAGCAGAUCUCUAGAACUUAUUCAACCUGUAUAAUUGAAACUUUAUACCCAUUAGAAAGCAACUCCCCUUUUCCCCUUCCCCUAGCCCCUGACAACCACUAUUCUACUCUGUUUCUAUGAGUUUGAGUAUCUCAGAUACCUCAUAAAAAUGGAAUCAUGCAGUAUUUGUUCCUAUAAGCCU
rnacentral:lncRNA from 1 species